UCCUCCCUACGGGGGGCAGCAGUAGUGAAUCUUCCACAAUGGGCGAAAGCCUGAUGGAGCAACGCCGCGUGGGUGAAGAAGGUCUUCGGAUCGUAAAACCCUGUUGUUAGAGAAGAAAGUGCGUGAGAGUAACUGCUCACGUUUCGACGGUAUCUAACCAGAAAGCCACGGCUAACUACGUGCCAGCAGCCGCGGUAAUACGUAGGUGGCAAGCGUUAUCCGGAUUUAUUGGGCGUAAAGGGAACGCAGGCGGUCUUCUAAGUCUGAUGUGAAAGCCUUCGGCUUUACCGGAGUAGUGCAUUGGG
rnacentral:rRNA from 1 species